rnacentral:rRNA from 1 species
CAGUAGCCGCGGUAAUACGUAGGUGGCAAGCGUUGUCCGGAAUUAUUGGGCGUAAAGGGCUCGCAGGCGGUUUCUUAAGUCUGAUGUGAAAGCCCCCGGCUCAACCGGGGAGGGUCAUUGGAAACUGGGAAACUUGAGUGCAGAAGAGGAGAGUGGAAUUCCACGUGUAGCGGUGAAAUGCGUAGAGAUGUGGAGGAACACCAGUGGCGAAGGCGACUCUCUGGUCUGUAACUGACGCUGAGGAGCGAAAGCGGGGGGAGCGAACAGGAUUAGAUACCCCAGUAGUCCCUGUCUCUUAUAC